GAUGAACGCUGGCGGCAUGCCUAACACAUGCAAGUCGAACGAGACGUUCGGGACUAGUGGCGCACGGGUGCGUAACCCGUGGGGCUCUGCCCUUGGGUUCGGAAUACCUCGCAGAAAGGCGUGCUAAUACCGGAUGAAGACGUCAGUCCAAAGAUUUAUGGAACAAGGGUGAGCCGGCGUUGGAUUCGCUAGUUCGCGAGGUAAAAGCUGACCAAGGCGAUGAUUCAGAGCUGGUCUGCGAGACUGAGCCGCCACCCUGAGACUGAGACGCGGCCGAGACUCCUACGGGAGGAAGCAGGGGGGAAGAUUGGACCAGGGGCGAAGGCCUGAUGAAGCAAGGCUGCGUGAGUGAUGAAGGCCUUAGGGUUGGAAAGCACUAUUACCCGGGAUGGUAUUGACGGUACCAGGAGAAUAAGCCCCGGCUAACUCCGUG
rnacentral:rRNA from 1 species